rnacentral:misc_RNA from 1 species
UUCUGCACUAUCAGAUAAGGUUUUCUCAGAGGAACCUUGCUGCUUGUUUUCCUCGGUAACUAAUGAAACAGAUGACGCAUUUUCUGACGAAGCAAUGUUGUCUUGUGUUGCAAGCAUAUGGUCACUACUCAUUUCAUAAUCACUUGGUCCCUCUAGAGAGACUGGGGAGCUAAGGGGAUCCAUUUUAGACGAAUCCUCAUUCCUGUUGGAUGAAGCAAGCACAACCGAAACUUG